rnacentral:rRNA from 1 species
AGAGUUUGAUCCUGGCUCAGAAUCAACGCUGGCGGCGUGCCUAACACAUGCAAGUCGAACGAGAAAGUGGUAGCAAUACCAUGAGUAAAGUGGCGCACGGGUGAGUAACACGUGACUAACCUACCCUGGAGUGGGGGAUAACUGAGGGAAACCUUAGCUAAUACCGCAUAACACCUACGGGUCAAAGGAGCAAUUCGCUUUGGGGGGGGGUCGCGGCCGAUUAGUUAGUUGGCGGGGUAAUGGCCCACCAAGACAGCGAUCGGUAUCCGGCCUGAGAGGGCGCACGGACACACUGGAACUGAAACACGGUCCAGACUCCUACGGGAGGCAGCAGUGGGGAAUUUUGCGCAAUGGGGGAAACCCUGACGCAGCAACGCCGCGUGGAGGAUGAAGUACUUCGGUACGUAAACUCCUUUCGAUCGGGACGAUUAUGACGGUACCGGAAGAAGAAGCCCCGGCUAACUUCGUGCCAGCAGCCGCGGUAUUACGAGGGGGGCGAGCGUUGUUCGGAAUUAUUGGGCGUAAAGGGUGCGUAGGCGGUUUGGUAAGUCUUUUGUGAAAUCUAUGGGCUCAACUCAUAGACUGCAAGGGAAACUGCCGGGCUUGAGUAUGGGAGAGGUGAGUGGAAUUCCUGGUGUAGCGGUGAAAUGCGUAGAUAUCAGGAGGAACACCUGUGGCGAAAGCGGCUCACUGGACCAUUACUGACGCUGAUGCACGAAAGCUAGGGGAGCAAACAGGAUUAGAUACCCUGGUAGUCCUAGCCCUAAACGAUGACUGCUUGGUGUGACGGGUACCCAAUCCCGUUGUGCCGUAGCUAACGCGUUAAGC